CCACGUAUGACGUUUCUGAUAUAUUGCGCUUGAGUAAUCACUACUUCCGACCUCAAGUUGUUGAACCAAAGAACAAUUUUGAGGCUCUAUUGCGAGGAUUAAUCCACCAACCAAUACAAAGACCAGAUGAUUCUUUUAACGAAGAGCUAACGGAAUAUUUAUUCCGAUCAAAAAGUAAACAUGGUUUGGACUUGGAAGCAAUUGACAUUCAAAGAGGAAGGGAUCAUGGAAUUCCGGGUUAUAAUGCUUAUCGGAAAAUUUGUCAUCUGGGACAAGCAACUGAUUUUUAUGAUCUUAUAAAUGAUAUUUCUUGGAAUAAUGUCGAGAAGCUAAGAAAAAUAUAUGCGCAUGUGGAUGACAUCGACCUCCUGGUUGGAGCAUCGUUAGAAAUACGGCUUCCAGGAUCUUUAUUAGGUCCAACACUUAGAUGUCUUAUCGGUGAACAAUUUUAUAGAAGUCGAGUAGGUGAUAAAUAUUUUUACGACAAUGCGGAUUUCCACUAUUCAUUCACUCCUGGUAAGUUGAAAUAAAAC